rnacentral:rRNA from 1 species
UGGGGAAUAUUGGACAAUGGGCGCAAGCCUGAUCCAGCCAUGCCGCGUGAGUGAUGAAGGCCCUAGGGUUGUAAAGCUCUUUCACCGGUGAAGAUAAUGACGGUAACCGGAGAAGAAGCCCCGGCUAACUUCGUGCCAGCAGCCGCGGUAAUACGAAGGGGGCUAGCGUUGUUCGGAUUUACUGGGCGUAAAGCGCACGUAGGCGGACUAUUAAGUCAGGGGUGAAAUCCCGGGGCUCAACCCCGGAACUGCCUUUGAUACUGGUAGUCUUGAGUUCGAGAGAGGUGAGUGGAAUUCCGAGUGUAGAGGUGAAAUUCGUAGAUAUUCGGAGGAACAACAGUGGCGAAGGCGGCUCACUGGCUCGAUACUGACGCUGAGGUGCGAAAGCGUGGGGAGCAAACAGG